rnacentral:rRNA from 1 species
UUUCUCAAUGGGCGCAAGCCUGAAGGAGCGACGCCGCGUGGGGGAUGAAGGGUUUCGAUCCGUAAACCCCUGUCAUUUGCGAACAAACCCUGAGGUUUAAGAGAUAUCAGGCUGAUUGUAGCGAAAGAGGAAGGGACGGCUAACUCUGUG